AAGUCGGUGAGGUAACCUUUUUGGAGCCAGCCGCCUAAGGUGGGAUAGAUGAUUGGGGUGAAGUCGUAACAAGGUAGCCGUAUCGGAAGGUGCGGCUGGAUCACCUCCUUUCUAAGGAA
rnacentral:rRNA from 1 species